rnacentral:rRNA from 1 species
UACGGGGGGAGCAAGCGUUGUUCGGAUUUACUGGGCGUAAAGGGCGCGUAGGCGGUCGUGACAAGUCACUUGUGAAAUCUCCGGGCUUAACUCGGAACGGUCAAGUGAUACUGUCGGACUAGAGUACAGAAGGGGCAACUGGAAUACUCGGUGUAGCGGUGAAAUGCGUAGAUAUCGAGAGGAACACCUGCGGCGAAGGCGGGUUGCUGGGCUGAUACUGACGCUGAGGCGCGAAAGCCAGGGGAGCGAACGGG